CGAUGGAGGGGGAUAACUACUGGAAACGGUAGCUAAUACCGCAUAACGUCGCAAGACCAAAGAGGGGGACCUUAGGGCCUCUUGCCAUCGGAUGUGCCAGAUGGGAUUAGCUAGUAGGUGGGGUAAAGGCUCACCUAGGCGACGAUCCCUAGCUGGUCUGAGAGGGUGACCAGCCACACUGGAACUGAGACACGGUCCAG
rnacentral:rRNA from 1 species